UACGUAGGGGGCUAGCGUUGUCCGGAAUCAUUGGGCGUAAAGCGCGCGUAGGCGGCCCGGUAAGUCCGCUGUAAAAGUCCAGGGCUCAACCCUGGAAAGCCGGUGGAUACUGUCGGGCUCGAGUCCGGAAGAGGCGAGUGGAAUUCCUGGUGUAGCGGUGGAAUGCGCAGAGUAUCAGGAGGAACACCAAUGGCGAAGGCAGCUCGCUGGGACGGUACUGACGCUAAGGCGCGAAAAGCGUGGGGAGCAAACAGGG
rnacentral:rRNA from 1 species